rnacentral:ribozyme from 13 species
CAUGCUGAAAAAAAAAAAAAAAAAAAAAAAAAAAAAAAAAAAAAAA